CCAUGUUGAAUAUACCGGGCUCUCGUUAGAUCACCGAAGUUAAGCAUCAUUGGGCGCGGUCAGUACUUGGGUGGGUGACCACCUGGGAACACUGCGUGCCGUU
rnacentral:rRNA from 1 species